rnacentral:misc_RNA from 1 species
UCCUGGUUAACCCAGGCAGUCUCACUAGAGUUCCCAUCCGAAAUGCUGGCAACUAGUGAUAAGGGUUGCGCUCGUUGCGGGACUUAACCCAACACCUCACGGCACGAGCUGACGACAGCCAUGCAGCACCUGUGUAGCAGUCCUUACGGAAGAUGACAUUUCUGCCACUGUCCACUACAUGUCAAGUCUGGGUAAGGUUCUUCGCGUAUCAUCGAAUUAAACCGCAUGCUCCACUGCUUGUGCGGGCCCCCGUCAAUUCUUUUGAGUUUCACCCUUGCGAGCGUACUCCUCAGGCGGUAUACUUAUCGCGUUAGCUACGACACAGUUGGGGUUGAGACCAACUACAUCAAGUAUACAUCGUUUACCGCAAGGACUAC